rnacentral:rRNA from 1 species
GAUUCUGGCUCAGGAUGAACGCUAGCGACAGGCUAACACAUGCAAGUCGAGGGGCAGCACGGGAGUAGCAAUACUUGGUGGCGACCGGCGCACGGGUGAGUAACGCGUAUGCAACCUACCUAUCAGAGGGGAAUAACCCGGCGAAAGUCGGACUAAUACCGCAUAAAACAGGGGCACCGCAUGGUGAUAUUUGUUAAAGAAAUUCGCUGAUAGAUGGGCAUGCGUUCCAUUAGGUAGUUGGUGAGGUAACGGCUCACCAAGCCGACGAUGGAUAGGGGAACUGAGAGGUUGGUCCCCCACACUGGUACUGAGACACGGACCAGACUCCUACGGGAGGCAGCAGUGAGGAAUAUUGGUCAAUGGGCGGGAGCCUGAACCAGCCAAGUCGCGUGAAAGGAAGAAGGAUCUAUGGUUCGUAAACUUCUUUUGCAGGGGAAUAAAGUGCAGGACGUGUCCUGUUCUGUAUGUACCCUGAGAAUAAGGAUCGGCUAACUCCGUGCCAGCAGCGGC